GGGAGAAAGAAGGGAGAUCAGCAAUGAGGCAGAUCCAUUGUCAUGAGUUCCAGGCCAGUGUGGGCUACAUUGUGAACUUUAGGUUUUUCUGACUAUACUGAGGCUUUGCAUCAUUCAGAGAGAGAGAGAGAGAAAGAGAGAGAGAGAGAGAGAGAGAGAGAGAGAGAGAGAGAGAGAGAGAGAGACAGAGAGAUAGAGAGACAGAGACAGAGAGAGUUAAAGAUAACAAACCCUUUGCAAAGACAUGUAAUAUCCAUUGAAGUGAAUGCUCUACACAGCCACUCAGCUCCAACACCCAUCAUGUCUUUGACUCCAACAAAAUCUACCAUCUCUCUGUACCUUUUCUUGCACUCUUCAUUUUCUCACAGGUGUUCAGCUCAAAAGUUCUACCAGGUAAAUCUCUUGCAGAAAAUUCUCUGUUGAGCUGUAAAGCACAGUGUACAAGAACAAUUAAUAAAAGGUGUCCAGGAGAUCAACUCUAGGCACCUACUGUGUUGUCAAGGAAGACCCUUCCCUGCCACAGGAAGAGCACUGGUAUUAUGGCAUAUCAGAGUAAGUAGCAGUGAACUUUGUAAGAACAUUCGCCGUAGGAUCUCAUAUGCC
rnacentral:lncRNA from 1 species